GUGCUUGUAGCGCAAGGGAUAGCGCGUUGGACUUCUAAUUCAAAGGUCGUGGAUUCGAUUACCACCUGAGAUG